rnacentral:rRNA from 1 species
ACUCUCUCUAAGGAACUCGGCAAAAUGGCCCCGUAACUUCGGGAGAAGGGGUGCCACCGCAAGGUGGUCGCAGUGAAGAGGCCCAGGCGACUGUUUACCAAAAACACAGGUCUCCGCUAAGUCGCAAGACGAUGUUUGGGGGCUGACGCCUGCCCAGUGCCGGAAGGUUAAGGAAGCUGGUCAGCGAAAGCGAAGCUAGCGACUGAAGCCCCGGUGAACGGCGGCCGUAACGAUAACGGUCCUAAGGUAGCGAAAUUCCUUGUCGGGUAAGUUCCGACCCGCACGAAAGGCGUAACGAUCUGGGCGCUGUCUCGGAGAGAGGCUCGGCGAAAUAGAAUUGUCUGUGAAGAUGCGGACUACGUGCACCCGGACAGAAAGACCCUAUGAAGCUUUACUGUAGCUUGGUAUUGUGCUCGGGCUCGGAAUGCGCAGGAUAGGUGGGAGGCUAUGAACCAUUGCUUGUGGGUGAUGGUGAGCCACUGGUGAGAUACCACUCUUUCCGAGCUAGAGUUCUAACAGCCACCCGUUAUCCGGGGGCUGGACAGUAUCAGGUGGGCAGUUUGACUGGGGCGGUCGCCUCCUAAAAGGUAACGGAGGCGCGCAAAGGUUUGCUCAGGCUGGUUGGAAAUCAGCCGACGAGUGUAAAAGCAGAAGCAAGCUUGACUGUGAGACCUACAAGUCGAACAGGGAGGAAACUCGGCUUUAGUGAUCCGACGGUUCUGCGUGGAUGGCCGUCGCUCAACGGAUAAAAGUUACUCUAGGAUAACAGGCUGAUCUCCCCCAAGAGUUCACAUCGACGGGGAGGUUUGGCACCUCGAUGUCGGCUCAUCGCAACCUGGGGCUGAAGUCGGUCCCAAGGGUUGGGCUGUUCGCCCAUUAAAGCGGUACGCGAGCUGGGUUCAGAACGUCGUGAGACAGUUCGGUCCAUAUCCGGUGCAUGCGCAGGAAUAUUGAGAGGAUUUCUCCCUAGUACGAGAGGACCGGGAGGAACGCACCUCUGGUGUACCAGUUAUCGUGCCAACGGUAAACGCUGGGUAGCCAUGUGCGGAGAGGAUAACCGCUGAAAGCAUCUAAGUGGGAAGCCCACCUCAAGAUGAGUAUUCCCAUGGGGUAACCCAGUAAGGUCACGGGAAGAACACCCGUUGAUAGGCUCUACGUGGAAGCGCAGUAAUGUGUGAAGCGGAGGAGUACUAAUAGACCGAGGGCUUGAC